rnacentral:rRNA from 1 species
GACGAACGCUGGCGGCGUGCUUAACACAUGCAAGUCGAGCGGUAAGGUCCUUUCGGGGGUACACGAGCGGCGAACGGGUGAGUAACACGUGGGUGACCUGCCCUCAGCUCUGGGAUAAGCCUGGGAAACCGGGUCUAAUACUGGAUAUGACUCCAUGACGCAUGUUGUGGGGUGGAAAGCCUUGUGCGGCUGAGGAUGGGCCCGCGGCCUAUCAGCUUGUUGGUGGGGUGANGGCCUACCAAGGCGACGACGGGUAGCCGGCCUGAGAGGGCGACCGGCCACACUGGGACUGAGACACGGCCCAGACUCCUACGGGAGGCAGCGGUGGGGAAUCUUGCGCAAUGGGCGAAAGCCUGACGCAGCGACGCCGCGUGAGGGAUGACGGCCU